CUCUAUACGGAGUUACAAAAGAAAGUUAUAAAUGAAGCGGUCUGGAAAGGCCCGCCAAAGACGGUAACAGCCCGGUAGUUGAAAUGGCUUUCCCUCCAGAGUGGAUCCUGAGUACGGCGGAACACGUGAAAUUCCGUCGGAAUCCGGGAGGACCAUCUCCCAAGGCUAAAUACUCCCUAGUGACCGAUAGUGAACCAGUACCGUGAGGGAAAGGUGAAAAGCACCCCGGAAGGGGAGUGAAACAGUUCCUGAAACCGUGUGCCUACAAGUAGUUAGAGCCCGUUAAUGGGUGAUAGCGUGCCUUUUGUAGAAUGAACCGGCGAGUUACGAUUUGUUGCAAGGUUAAGCGGAAAAAGCGGAGCCGUAGCGAAAGCGAGUCUGAAUAGGGCGCAUAAGUAACAGGUCGUAGACCCGAAACCAGGUGAUCUACCCAUGUCCAGGAUGAAGGUAAGGUAAUACUUACUGGAGGUCCGAACCCACGCACGUUGAAAAGUGCGGGGAUGAGGUGUGGGUAGCGGAGAAAUUCCAAUCGAACUUGGAGAUAGCUGGUUCUCUCCGAAAUAGCUUUAGGGCUAGCCUCGAGGUAAAGAGUCAUGGAGGUAGAGCACUGUUUGGACUAGGGGCCCUUCUCGGGUUACCGAAUUCAGAUAAACUCCGAAUGCCAUGUACUUAUACUCGGGAGUCAGACUGCGAGUGAUAAGAUCCGUAGUCGAAAGGGAAACAGCCCAGACCACCAGUUAAGGUCCCCAAAUAUAUGUUAAGUGGAAAAGGAUGUGGGGUUGCUUAGACAACCAGGAUGUUGGCUUAGAAGCAGCCACCAUUGAAAGAGUGCGUAAUAGCUCACUGGUCGAGUGACCCCGCGCCGAAAAUGUACCGGGGCUAAACAUAUUACCGAAACUGUGGAUGAACCUCUUUAGAGGUUCGUGGUAGGAGAGCGUUCUAAGGGCGGUGAAGUCAGACCGGAAGGACUGGUGGAGCGCUUAGAAGUGAGAAUGCCGGUAUGAGUAGCGAAAGAAGGGUGAGAAUCCCUUCCACCGAAUAUCUAAGGUUUCCUGAGGAAGGCUCGUCCGCUCAGGGUUAGUCGGGACCUAAGCCGAGGCCGAUAGGCGUAGGCGAUGGACAACAGGUAGAGAUUCCUGUACCAGUGCUAAUUGUUUAACCGAUGGGGUGACACAGAAGGAUAGGGAAUCGCACGAAUGGAAAUGUGCGUCCAAGCAGUGAGUGUGAGAAGUAGGCAAAUCCGCUUCUCGCGAAGCAUGAGCUGUGAUGGGGAAGGAAAUUAAGUACGGAAGUUCCUGAUUUCACGCUGUCAAGAAAAGCCUCUAGGAAGAGUAGUACUGCCCGUACCGCAAACCGACACAGGUAGAUGAGGAGAGAAUCCUAAGGUGAGCGAGAGAACUCUCGUUAAGGAACUCGGCAAAAUGACCCCGUAACUUCGGGAGAAGGGGUGCUCUAUUAGGGUGCAAGCCCGAGAGAGCCGCAGUGAAUAGGCCCAGGCGACUGUUUAGCAAAAACACAGGUCUCUGCAAAACCGUAAGGUGACGUAUAGGGGCUGACGCCUGCCCGGUGCUGGAAGGUUAAGAGGAGUGCUUAGCUUCGGCGAAGGUACGAAUUGAAGCCCCAGUAAACGGCGGCCGUAACUAUAACGGUCCUAAGGUAGCGAAAUUCCUUGUCGGGUAAGUUCCGACCCGCACGAAAGGCGCAACGAUCUGGGCACUGUCUCAACGAGAGACUCGGUGAAAUUAUAGUACCUGUGAAGAUGCAGGUUACCCGCGACAGGACGGAAAGACCCCGUGGAGCUUUACUGCAACCUGAUAUGGAAUGUUUGUACCGCUUGUACAGGAUAGGUAGGAGCCGAAGAGACGUGUGCGCUAGCAUACGAGGAGGCAAUGGUGGGAUACUACCCUGGCUGUAUGACCAUUCUAACCCGCCACGCUUAGCGCGUGGGGAGACAGUGUCAGGUGGGCAGUUUGACUGGGGCGGUCGCCUCCUAAAGAGUAACGGAGGCGCCCAAAGGUUCCCUCAGAAUGGAUGGAAAUCAUUCGCAGAGUGUAAAGGCACAAGGGAGCUUGACUGCGAGACUGACAAGUCGAGCAGGGACGAAAGUCGGGCUUAGUGAUCCGGUGGUUCCGCAUGGAAGGGCCAUCGCUCAACGGAUAAAAGCUACCCCGGGGAUAACAGGCUUAUCUCCCCCAAGAGUCCACAUCGACGGGGAGGUUUGGCACCUCGAUGUCGGCUCGUCGCAUCCUGGGGCUGUAGUCGGUCCCAAGGGUUGGGCUGUUCGCCCAUUAAAGCGGCACGCGAGCUGGGUUCAGAACGUCGUGAGACAGUUCGGUCCCUAUCCGUCGCGGGCGCAGGAAAUUUGAGAGGAGCUGUCCUUAGUACGAGAGGACCGGGAUGGACACACCGCUGGUGUACCAGUUGUUCCGCCAGGAGCAUCGCUGGGUAGCUAUGUGUGGCAGGGAUAAACGCUGAAAGCAUCUAAGCGUGAAGCCCCCCUCAAGAUGAGAUUUCCCAUUUCUUCGGAAAGUAAGAUCCCUGAAAGAUGAUCAGGUAGAUAGGU
rnacentral:rRNA from 1 species